GCUGUGGCUCCGUGGUAGUGCACCUGCCUGGCAUGUGUGAGGCACUGGGUUCGAUUCUCAGCACUGCA
rnacentral:tRNA from 1 species